GAUGAACGCUAGCGGCAGGCUUAAUACAUGCAAGUCGUGGGGCAGCAGGUCUGUAGCAAUACAGAUGCUGGCGACCGGCAAACGGGUGCGUAACACGUACGCAACCUUCCCGUUACUGGGGAAUAGCCCAGGGAAACUUGGAUUAAUACCCCAUAUUAUAUUGGUUAGGCAUCUGACUGAUAUCAAAGCUUCGGCGGUAACGGAUGGGCGUGCGGUUGAUUAGGUAGUUGGCGGGGUAACGGCCCACCAAGCCUACGAUCAAUAGCUGAUGUGAGAGCAUGAUCAGCCACACGGGCACUGAGACACGGGCCCGACUCCUACGGCAGGCAGCAGUAAGGAAUAUUGGGCAAUGGACGAAAGUCUGACCCAGCCAUGCCGCGUGAAGGAUGAAGGUCCUCUGGAUUGUAAACUUCUUUUAUCUGGGGCGAAAAUCGGUUAUUCUUAGCCGCUUGACAGUACCAGAUGAAUAAGCACCGGCUAACUCCGUGCCAGCCGCCGCAGUAAAAC
rnacentral:rRNA from 1 species